GACGAACGCUGGCGGCGUGCUUAACACAUGCAAGUCGAGCGAUGAAGCUCCUUCGGGAGCGGAUUAGCGGCGGACGGGUGAGUAACACGUGGGUAACCUGCCUCAUAGAGGGGAAUAGCCUUCCGAAAGGAAGAUUAAUACCGCAUAAGAUUGUAGUUCCGCAUGGAAUAGCAAUUAAAGGAGUAAUCCGCUAUGAGAUGGACCCGCGUCGCAUUAGCUAGUUGGUAAGGUAACGGCUCACCAAGGCGACGAUGCGUAGCCGACCUGAGAGGGUGGUCGGCCACAUUGGGACUGAGACACGGCCCAGACUCCUACGGGAGGCAGCAGUGGGGAAUAUUGCACAAUGGGGGAAACCCUGAUGCAGCAACGCCGCGUGAGUGAUGACGGUCUUCGGAUUGUAAAACUCUGUCUUCAGGGACGAUAAUGACGGUACCUGAGCAGGAAGCCACGGCUAACUACGUGCCAGCCGCCGCGGUAAAAC
rnacentral:rRNA from 1 species